UGAUGGCAGUGAUGAUUCCUCUAACGUUGCUGACCUGAUGUUCAAACGUGAGGGUGUGCAGUCACUACCUCAUCUGAGCCAUCU
ensembl:snoRNA SNORD11B small nucleolar RNA, C/D box 11B